UGGGGAAUCUUGCGCAAUGGUCGGAAGACUGACGCAGCGACGCCGCGUGUGGGAGGACGCCUUUCGGGGUGUGAAACCACUGUUGCCCGGGACGAACUGGCGGUUUCGACCGCCCUGACGGUACCGGGUGAGGAAGCACCGGCUAACUCCGUGCCAGCAGCCGCGGUAAUACGGAGGGUGCGAGCGUUGUCCGGAAUCAUUGGGCGUAAAGGGCGCGUAGGUGGCCCGGUCAGUCUUUGGUGAAAGCGCGGGGCUCAACCCUGCGUCGGCCAGGGAUACUGCCGCGGCUGGAGCACUGUAGAGGCAGGCGGAAUUCCGGGUGUAGCGGUGGAAUGCGUGGAGAUCCGGAAGAACACCGGUGGCGAAGGCGGCCUGCUGGGCCAGUUGCUGACACUGAGGCGCGACAGCGUGGGGAGCAAAACA
rnacentral:rRNA from 1 species